GCCUUCGUGGUAUAGUGGGUAGUACGCUCGACACGUAACCGAGAGGUCCGUGGUUCGAUUCUCGGCAAAGGCG
rnacentral:tRNA from 1 species